UACGUAGGGGGCUAGCGUUGUCCGGAAUCAUUGGGCGUAAAGCGCGUGUAGGCGGUCCGGUAAGUCCGCUGUGAAAGUCGAGGGCUCAACCCUCGAAUGCCGGUGGAUACUGUCGGGCUUGAGUACGGGAGAGGCGAGUGGAAUUCCUGGUGUAGCGGUGAAAUGCGCAGAUAUCAGGAGGAACACCGAUGGCGAAGGCAGGUCACUGGGCCGCAACUGACGCUGAGGAGCGAAAGCAUGGGGAGCGAACAGG
rnacentral:rRNA from 1 species